rnacentral:misc_RNA from 1 species
GAAAUGCGAUAAGUAAUGUGAAUUGCAGAAUUCAGUGAAUCAUCGAAUCUUUGAACGCACAUUGCGCCCGGCAGCAAUCUGCCGGGCAUGCCUGUCCGAGCGUCAUUUCAACCCUCGAACCUCCGUUUCCUCAGGGAAGCUCAGGGUCGGUGUUGGGGCGCUACGGCGAGUCUUCGCGACCCUCCGUAGGCCCUGAAAUACAGUGGCGGUCCCGCCGCGGUUGCCUUCUGCGUAGUAAGUCUCUUUUGCAAGCUCGCAUUGGGUCCCGGCGGAGGCCUGCCGUCAAACCACCUAUAACUCCAGAUGGUUUGACCUCGGAUCAGGUAGGGCUACCCGCUGAACUUAA